AACGUAGGAGGCGAGCGUUAUCCGGAUUUACUGGGCGUAAAGCGCGUGUAGGCGGCGUAGAAAGUUGGAUGUGAAAGCUCCUGGCUUAACUGGGAGAGGUCGUUCAAAACUUCUAUGCUAGAGUUUGGUAGAGGAAAAUGGAAUUCCGGGAGUAGUGGUGAAAUGCGUAGAUAUCCGGAGGAACACCAGUGGCGAAAGCGAUUUUCUGGACCAAUACUGACGCUCAGACGCGAAAGCUAGGGUAGCAAACGGGAUUAGAGACCCCGGUAGUCCUAGCCGUAAACGAUGUAGACUUGGCGUUGGGUGGGUAAAACUGCUCAGUGCCGAAGCAAACGCGAUAAGUCUACCGCCUGGGGACUACGGCCGCAAGGUUAAA
rnacentral:rRNA from 1 species